GAGAAUAAAAAAUGAGCACGAUUAGAGAGAUUAUUUCAAUUAUUGAAUUACAGCAGUCCCAACGGAAGUUCCUCAAUCGUGUUAAUUCGCUCGAGUUGUUGCUUGUGAUGGCGCGCGUUUCUUCGCGUGGGGUCCCCACCGCUUAAUAUCUAUCAUCGCUAUUAUGUUUCGACUGUGACGCCAACGCCGAACAUAAUUAGAUUAGCUCAAUUUGCUGCGGCAUUCGUUUCGCUUACUUUCGGAUUAAUUACAGUUGUAGGUCCCGUGGCACAGAGGUUCAGUCUUUUGAAAAGGGGGCAAAAACUAAACAUGGUUUUUGGUUGAAAAACAAAGUCUAACAUUCUUAUCCAGUAUCAGAGAGUUGAGCAUAUAGACGAGAAUUUACAAACAUUUUAUCCAUCAUGUUUGGACGCUGUACCUAAUGUCCAAACGCCGUAAUUUUUGCUUCAAGAUGGGUCAUCAACGGUAAAAUAAAAGUUAUAAAAUUUUAUACCCUCCUAUUAGCGAGCAAUUUCCAGAACGUAUUCCUAAACUAUAUUUCAAAAUUAGGGGCAAAAUGGGUCAUGCUUUUUUAAAUUGUUUCCAAACUAAUAAGUAAUUUUAACUAUAUUUUCUCUUCUUUGCAGUUGAAGUUUUGUAAGAAUUUUGUUCUAUAAAAUCAAGGAAUGAUUACUAUGCUUUAAAUUAGGUCUUCAACCCUGAAUGAUUGUGUCAAGACAAGAAGAGUAAACCAAAAGGAAUACGUAAUUAUGACCAAGUUUUUUCUAAUCUAAACCAUCGUGCGAGGGAAGCCUGCGCAGCCUCAGCAGAUUUGAAAGAAAGUCAAGCUGUUUGAAGAAAUCAAUUACCACCGCACCGAGAGCGUAUCGUAAUUAGCCACUGCCAUACAGAAGUAAAACGGAGUUCUGUUUCGGAAAGGAAAAAGAUCGACCGCAUUAGUCUUGGGAGGAGAUUGAAAUUGUUCGAUUGUGCCUGAGUUGGUGCACUUGCACGCGGCAAGCGGAGGAUUAAUUCGAUGCAGUUGUGAUUUUGUACAGAAAUAUUAAUUUCUAUGACAAACGGUCUGACGAUUAUGGUAAUGCGGUCGAGAGUGCGUGGCGAGUGCGAAAGAAACGAGUCAUUUCAUGGCAGAACGAACCUAAUGAACAUCUGGGCUAUGAUUUACCAAUGUGAGAUAGGGGCCGAGAGAUUAAAUUUAAGAUCGGAUAUACCGACGCGAUUGAAUCCAAGUGACUUUUGAUAUAUGUAAAGAUGCAGCGAAACUUCAUUUGCAUAGAGUGGGAUCUACAAAUUUAUGGCUGAAGCUUGAUUAGGUUAGGUACAGGUUAUGUCCCGGAAGAAUAUGGAAAUUAGAUGAUGCGCUUCGACUCCCAUC